rnacentral:rRNA from 1 species
GACGAACGCUGGCGGCGUGCUUAACACAUGCAAGUCGAACGGAAAGGCCCUGCUUUUGUGGGGUGCUCGAGUGGCGAGCGGGUGAGUAACACGUGAGUAACCUGCCCUUGACUUUGGGAUAACUUCAGGAAACUGGGGCUAAUACCGGAUAGGAGCUCCUGCUGCAUGGUGGGGGUUGGAAAGUUUCGGCGGUUGGGGAUGGACUCGCGGCUUAUCAGCUUGUUGGUGGGGUAGUGGCUUACCAAGGCUUUGACGGGUAGCCGGCCUGAGAGGGUGACCGGCCACAUUGGGCCUGCGAUACGGCCCAGACUCCUACGGGAGGCAGCAGUGGGGAAUAUUGCACAAUGGGCGGAAGCCUGAUGCAGCAACGCCGCGUGCGGGAUGACGGCCUUCGGGUUGUAAACCGCUUUCGCCUGUGACGAAGCGUGAGUGACGGUAAUGGGUAAAGAAGCACCGGCUAACUACGUG